UACGUAGGGACCAAGCGUUGUUCGGAUUUACUGGGCGUAAAGGGCGCGUAGGCGGCGUGUUAAGUCACUUGUGAAAUCUCUAAGCUUAACUUAGAACGGUCAAGUGAUACUGAUGUGCUAGAGUGCAGAAGGGGCAACCGGAAUUCUUGGUGUAGCGGUGAAAUGCGUAGAUAUCAAGAGGAACACCUGAGGUGAAGACGGGUUGCUGGGCUGACAUUGACGCUGAGGCGCGAAAGCUAGGGUAGCAAACGGG
rnacentral:rRNA from 1 species